AGGGUCUCUCUGUGUCUCCAAGGCUGGAGUGCAGUGGCGUGAUCAUAACUAACUACAGUCUCAAACUCCUGGGCUCAAGGGGUCCUCCCGCCUCAGCCUCCUGAGCUAGGACCACAGAUAUUCCCAUAAAAUGUAUCAGGUUGUUGCAGAUCAAACCGAUGGACAGAAGAUGGGAUAAUGAGCAAAGAUUUUAGGAGUUGUGACAUAAAAAACAAGACCCACUGUGUUAAAAAGAUACAACCAUAAUAACCUUGAGAUAAUGCUUGAAGCAGUAAAGUGAGGACUGGAAAAUAAAUCAUGUGUCCUGAGGCUUCCACUCAACACACGCUAAAACCUCAAAGCAGACAUCAGUAUCAACAGAGAUCCUAGAGCAGCUUUUUAGAGCUGACUUGAGGAGAAGUGCCCCAGUCCCCAAUCAAUCUUUUGGUGGUAGCAGUAGUGGCAGCAGCAACAACAAAGAUACACAGAUUUCAAGUGUCGUGUUCUCAGCUCAGUGAUCAUCCUACUAGAGUCACUAUUUCAUCCAUCAUAUUUCACCCAAUAUAUUCACGCUUACAGCUGAUGAAGAUGACAACCCAGAAAUGCCAACUAUCAUAGACAAAACCCCAAGAAUAGCCUCUCUCUAGCCAAUACACCAGGAAAGAGGCAGGCUAGCAAGACAGAACUUUUAGACAAUAUACCUCUCUACUGCAGUCAACCACCACACCAAAUGGUGGUCACACCCACACCAUCAAAGGCUGAGUGAGGAGCCUAGAUUUCCACCAUCGUUGGUCUAUAAUGAUGCACCCCAAUCUUUCCACCAAGCCAGUGUCAGAAAAGACCUAGCAGGGAGCCAGGAUGUUCAUCUCCAUCAACAAGUAACAAGAGUCCCCCCUCAUGAUGUAUGUGGAACACUGGCAACCACAUGGGGAGCCUAAACUCCCACUCCCUCCCAGUAGUAAUAAGGUGCCCUCUGGCUUGUCUCCCACUGGAGUGCUGUUGGAGGAGGCACAGUGAAGAAGCAAGACUUUCACAACUGCUCAGCACUAGUGAAGCCAUCCCCCUCAGUGUGCUAUGAAUAGAGGCUGGGGAACAGUUAAAAGACACUGUUGCACUUUCUAGCCAGGGUAAUAGCAAUGGAAGCUAAGAAGGAAGCUGAAACUCCCAAACUCGCCAAGCAAUCAUUACUAGCCCCCCACCUAGAGUGUCAAUGGAGGUCAAGUGGAGAACCUGGACUUCUACUUCACAUGGCAGUAAGAAGGCAGUGCCCACCCCCUCCAUCCCUGGAGCAGUCUCAGAGGAAGCCAGCUAAAAGAGAAGGUUGAACUAAGAUUCAGAGUUUUCUGGUAUAAAAUUAAAAAUGUCCAGGUUUCUAUUUUUGUAACUAUAAUAAAAUGUGGUAUUUAUACACAAUGGAAUAGUAUGCAUCAGUUUAAAAUAUGCCUAUCAUUAGUGACAGCAUGGAUGAACCUGGAGGACAUUACGUUAAGUAUAUGCCAGGCAUUGGUUCACUCAUAUGUUGAACCUAAAAGUGUUGAUCUCAUAGAAGUAGGGAAUAGAAUGGAG
rnacentral:lncRNA from 10 species